rnacentral:rRNA from 1 species
UACACAUGCAAGUCGAACGGCAGCACGGACUUCGGUCUGGUGGCGAGUGGCGAACGGGUGAGUAAUGUAUCGGAACGUGCCCAGUAGCGGGGGAUAACUACGCGAAAGCGUAGCUAAUACCGCAUACGCCCUACGGGGGAAAGCAGGGGAUCGCAAGACCUUGCACUAUUGGAGCGGCCGAUAUCGGAUUAGCUAGUUGGUGGGGUAACGGCUCACCAAGGCGACGAUCCGUAGCUGGUUUGAGAGGACGACCAGCCACACUGGGACUGAGACACGGCCCAGACUCCUACGGGAGGCAGCAGUGGGGAAUUUUGGACAAUGGGGGAAACCCUGAUCCAGCCAUCCCGCGUGUGCGAUGAAGGCCUUCGGGUUGUAAAGCACUUUUGGCAGGAAAGAAACGUCAUGGGUUAAUACCCCGUGAAACUGACGGUACCUGCAGAAUAAGCGCCGGCUAACUACGUGCCAGCAGCCGCGGUAAUACGUAGGGUGCAAGCGUUAAUCGGAAUUACUGGGCGU